rnacentral:tRNA from 1 species
GUCCCCAUCGUCUAGAGGCCUAGGACACCGCCCUUUCACGGCGGUAACAGGGGUUCGACUCCCCUAGGGGACGCCA